GACUUGGUAGCUCAGCUGGUAGAGCACAUCACUUUUAAUGAUGGGGUCCUGGGUUCGAAUCCCAGCCAGGUCA
rnacentral:tRNA from 7 species